rnacentral:tRNA from 1 species
UGCGGGAUAGAGCAGAUGGAAGCUCGGGAGUAUGGUACGCCAUCGCGGUCAUAAGCUCCAGGUCGCCGGUUCGAGUCCGGCUCCCGCAACCA